AGCAGCCGCGGUAAUUCCAGCUCCAAUAGCGUAUAUUAAAGUUGUUGCAGUUAAAAAGCUCGUAGUUGAAUUUCGGGAUUGACGUGACGGUCGUGCCUUAAGGGGCGUGAACUGUCGCCGUUGAUUUCUCACCUUCUGGAGAAGCUCGAUGUCCUUAAUUGGAUGUCUUGUGGAACCAGGACCUUUACCUUGAAAAAAUUAGAGUGUUUAAAGCAGGCAUUUUGCUCGAAUACAUUAGCAUGGAAUAAUAGAAUAGGACGGCAUGGUUCUAUUUUGUUGGUUUCUAGGAUCACCGUAAUGAUUAAUAGGGAUAGUUGGGGGCACUAGUAUUCAAUUGUCAGAGGUGAAAUUCUUGGAUUUAUUGAAGACUAACUACUGCGAAAGCAUUUGCCAAGGAUGUUUUCAUUAAUCAAGAACGAAAGUUAGGGGAUCGAAGACGAUCAGAUACCGUCGUAGUCUUAACCAUAAACUAU
rnacentral:rRNA from 1 species